GGGGGGGGUGUCUUUCUGCCACACUAAUAAAAAGGGCUGGGAACAAUGCGCCCAUGGGUCCUCCAUCUUUCCAGAGCCCCUCUACCUUCUCACAAGGCUGCCGUGAGGUGAGCAAUGUUCUCCACCGUGCCCUUCACCAUGAUGCUUCUGCCUUGGAUCCUGCUCUCCAUGGACUGAAACCAUGUUGUUUAUGUCAGUGUGAAUCCAGGUGAACAUCCAGAUCUCAGCUGUACUGACUUAUAACCAACCCUCCCUCGGGAACUAAUGGAGUUCUUAACAAGAAAUUCAGGAGAAGUGAAAGGAAAAUUAUACUAGAAGAAAACAGAUAAAUCCUUUAAGUGGGACAAUCUUCAAG
rnacentral:lncRNA from 1 species